GUAGCGGGCGGCAAAUUAAUCCUUCCCUUCUUGGGUGCCGGCAGCUAAUAAGGACGUGGCCCUGUGGCCGGGGCUCAUCACACUCUUGGAGAGCAUCAGAGCAUCUCCCUGUGCCUAUUACGGUGAUGUCAUCUGGACUGAGUACAAGACGGUGAGACGGAUGCGUGCCCUUCCUCGGAGUCAGGUUCUAAACGUUCACAGCCUUGCCCGGAGAGGAGGAAGAGUCCCCCUGGAUUCUCCUUGGCGGUCUGCACCAGGAGCUGGGCAGCGGCCGCAGAGUCCCAGGAAUGCUGCAUCUGUACCCUCCCCAGCACCUCAUCCUGUUGCCCGCCGGGCUUGGGGAGCUGGCAAGUAUGACACCAAGACUAACGAGUCCGUUGUUUCUCUUCCCUCCACAGCCUCCAGCGGGUUCUAUCAACCUCGGUUACAGAGGUGAGAAGAGCUGCUGUUUGCAUCCCACCGUCUCCCGGGAAUGGAAGCGGGAGGCGCAGCUCUCCAGGAUGACGGCUGGAUCCUCUCGCUCAGCUGUUCCUUAAUUUCAGCCUCGGGUCUUCCGAAGCUAAAGACGGGUCCUGUUGAAGCACAUUGCACCCCCCACCCCGGCCCUGCCCCUCUCUGUUUCCUUCGGAAGUGGUGGAGGGUUUUCCUUCUACCUUCCAUGGAUGUUGUCCAGGGCCUCUCACCAGGACCAGCUCCCCAAUUCGCAGGGCCCAGUGCAUAUUGAAAAAGCAGGGCCCCUUGUUCAAAAAUUAUGGAAAAUUUCAAGGUGGCGACAGCAGAGCAUUAAACCAAUGCGGGUGCAGCCCUUCCAGGCACAGGUUGCAAGGACUGCAGAGGUCACUCGGCCAGGAAGCCUCUGAGGGAGAGCUCCACCCGGACGACCUGGCUCGAGACUCAUAUUUUCCCACAUCUGCACGAGACGAGGAGCAAACAGGGCAGGAAGGAGGGAGAAACCUCUGCUCCAGGGGCGCUCCCUUCCUCACCUUCAGGGUUUGCAGUGCAACUGAGAAAAUGAAGUGACAAAUGGCAAGAGACAGAGAAGCCACUCGUCCUAACAGCUGCCGCUCAGGGAUCCUCAGAAUCUCAUGAAAGAAAUGUCAUCUCACCUUCUCCCCUAAACUCGGGGUUAGCCGCAGUACCCCCAAGGGAAAGAGCUCCCCUUGGACACCUGGUCACAUCUAGAGGGUUGUCACGUCACAGCUCCAACCACAAAGAAAACACGUCGCACACACAGAGAAUGCUUGGCACCAGGGGAGGUGGGGAAAGGAGAGAGGGGGCCAGGUGAAGAGCUGACAAUUUUAAUUCCUGACAUUUGCAUGUCAUGAAUAUUCAGCCCAUUUCCCCAGCCUGAACGCUGCUCUAGACCAGAGGAAAUGUGUGCCACGGUCCACGGCGCCUGGAGCUGUGCUUCUGGAGGCGUGGUGCCCGGUGAGCGG
rnacentral:lncRNA from 1 species